AUAUACAUAUAUUUUUUAAAGCAAUCGACUGGUAAUAAUUUGUAAAAUAAACAAAUAAAAUUUAAAAAAAUGUUAACAACAGGUGCGAUGUUAGAUAAUACUGCAUAUCAACCUUCUUUACAUCAAAAGUCAAGUGAUUGACGUAUUUUAUCUCAAGUACUCUUCUCUGGGAAGGAAGUUACUAGUUAUACAAUAAUUUUUAAAACUGGAAUUUUACAAUUUGGGUUGAUAAAUAUGGCAAUGAAACAAAAAGAAAUUUUCAAAACAUGCAAAUGUCAUUUUAAAAGUGGUCUCCUCAGUGAAGUUAAUUGAGUUCUAAUAAAUCAAUAAUAAGAUAAGUUUCCUUGGCAGAGAACUGCCCUCAAUAGAAAUGAGAAAAAUAUGGGUGUCAUCGAAAGUAGGAUAAGCAGAAUCUGCAAAGAAGCAAAAAAGACCAGAAAACAUUUGCCAACAGACUGCAGACCCAGGAAAAAUUAAGGCAAUCGAAGGAGUUUGUUAAGGAGAUCAAACCAGCAGAA